rnacentral:rRNA from 1 species
CCUACGGGAGGCAGCAGUAGGGAAUCUUCCGCAAUGGACGAAAGUCUGACGGAGCAACGCCGCGUGAACGAUGAAGGCCUUCGGGUCGUAAAGUUCUGUUGUUAGGGAAGAACAAGUGCUAGUUGAAUAAGCUGGCACCUUGACGGUACCUAACCAGAAAGCCACGGCUAACUACGUGCCAGCAGCCGCGGUAAUACGUAGGUGGCAAGCGUUGUCCGGAAUUAUUGGGCGUAAAGCGCGCGCAGGCGGUUUCUUAAGUCUGAUGUGAAAGCCCCCGGCUCAACCGGGGAGGGUCAUUGGAAACUGGGAAACUUGAGUGCAGAAGAGGAAAGUGGAAUUCCAAGUGUAGCGGUGAAAUGCGUAGAGAUUUGGAGGAACACCAGUGGCGAAGGCGACUUUCUGGUCUGUAACUGACGCUGAGGCGCGAAAGCGUGGGGAGCAAACAGGAUUAGAUACCCUGGUAGUCCACGCUGUAAACGAUGAGUGCUAAGUGUUAGAGGGUUUCCGCCCUUUAGUGCUGAAGUUAACGCAUUAAGCACUCCGCCUGGGGAGUACGGUCGCAAGACUGAAACUUAAAUGAAAUUGACGGNUUGAGNGNGCGAGNGACGACGAGGAGAGG